UUGAACUCUUUUUACAACUCUAUAAGUACUUAAAACUAUUUAAUUAAUGUGAGAAGAACAUGAGCUUUAUAAAUUGAAAAGUGAUAAAAUAAAAUUCUAUCUAAUACAUGCAAAGAGUGAAAAAUAUGAACAAAAUUUUCAAGUUUGUUUAUGUUAUGCUAAUCCUUCAUUCCCUAUUUCUUGUUUCAACACAACAACCAUUUAUAGUUCUCAUUCCAUGUAAAACUGAUCGUGAUUGUCCAACAUCUCCCAAGAAAUUGAACAUGUCACGUCCUAAAAAACUGAGGUGUCGUGAUGGUUUAUGUGUAUGACGAUAAUUAUAAAGCUCUAUCGAUUAUAUGAUUGGCAGACCCAAAAGAAUUUAAAAAAAAAAAAAUCACACUACUAGAAUAUUCCACAAUUUCUUAUUUAGUUAUUGUGAUCACCUAUUAAAUGAAUUUUCUUUUACCUGUUUUAAUUUCAUAUACUUUGUUAGUUUUGUACUUAAGAUGAUGCAAGUGAAAUGACAUAAACCAUGAAAAAUAUUAUCUAUA